CCUACGGGUGGCAGCAGUGAGGAAUAUUGGUCAAUGGCCGGAAGGCUGAACCAGCCAUGCCGCGUGAAGGUCAGUGCCCUAUGGGCGUUAAACUUCUUUUGUGCGGGAGCAAUAAUGGUCACGUGUGGCCAGACGAGAGUACCGUACGAAUAAGCAUCGGCUAACUCCGUGCCAGCAGCCGCGGUAAUACGGGGGAUGCAAGCGUUAUCCGGAUUUAUUGGGUUUAAAGGGUGCGUAGGCUGUGAGGUAAGUCAGCGGUGAAAUGCCCCCGCUCAACGGGGUGAAGUGCCAUUGAUACUGCCUGGCUGGAAUGCGGAUGCCGUGGGAGGAAUGUGUGGUGUAGCGGUGAAAUGCAUAGAUAUCACACAGAACACCGAUUGCGAAGGCAUCUCACGAAUCCACGAUUGACGCUGAUGUACGAAAGCGUGGGUAUCAAACAGGAUUAGAUACCCUUGUAGUC
rnacentral:rRNA from 1 species